rnacentral:rRNA from 1 species
AACGAACGCUGGCGGCAGGCCUAACACAUGCAAGUCGAGCGAAGUCUUCGGACUUAGCGGCGGACGGGUGAGUAACGCGUGGGAAUAUGCCCUUCUCUACGGAAUAGCCUCGGGAAACUGGGAGUAAUACCGUAUAGGCCCUUUGGGGGAAAGAUUUAUCGGAGAAGGAUUAGCCCGCGUUGGAUUAGGUAGUUGGUGGGGUAAUGGCCUACCAAGCCGACGAUCCAUAGCUGGUUUGAGAGGAUGAUCAGCCACACUGGGACUGAGACACGGCCCAGACUCCUACGGGAGGCAGCAGUGGGGAAUCUUAGACAAUGGGCGCAAGCCUGAUCUAGCCAUGCCGCGUGAUUGAUGAAGGCCUUAGGGUUGUAAAGAUCUUUCAGCUGGGAAGAUAAUGACGGUACCAGCAGAAGAAGCCCCGGCUAACUCCGUGCCAGCAGCCGCAGUAA